GGGUUGUGAGGUUAAGCGACUAAGCGUACACGGUGGAUGCCCUGGCAGUCAGAGGCGAUGAAGGGCGUGCUAAUCUGCGAUAAGCGCCGGUAAGGUGAUAUGAACCGUUAUAACCGGCGAUACCCGAAUGGGGAAACCCAGUGUGACUCGUCACACUAUCAUUAACUGAAUCCAUAGGUUAAUGAGGCGAACCGGGGGAACUGAAACAUCUAAGUACCCCGAGGAAAAGAAAUCAACCGAGAUUCCCCCAGUAGCGGCGAGCGAACGGGGAGGAGCCCAGAGCCUGAAUCAGCAUGUGUGUUAGUGGAAGCGUCUGGAAAGGCGCGCGAUACAGGGUGACAGCCCCGUACACAAAAGCGCAUGUGCUGUGAGCUCGAUGAGUAGGGCGGGACACGUGGUAUCCUGUCUGAAUAUGGGGGGACCAUCCUCCAAGGCUAAAUACUCCUGACUGACCGAUAGUGAACCAGUACCGUGAGGGAAAGGCGAAAAGAACCCCGGCGAGGGGAGUGAAAAAGAACCUGAAACCGUGUACGUACAAGCAGUGGGAGCACAGGUUUACCUGUGUGACUGCGUACCUUUUGUAUAAUGGGUCAGCGACUUAUAUUCUGUAGCAAGGUUAACCGAAUAGGGGAGCCGGAGGGAAACCGAGUCUUAACUGGGCGUUAAGUUGCAGGGUAUAGACCCGAAACCCGGUGAUCUAGCCAUGGGCAGGUUGAAGGUUGGGUAACACUAACUGGAGGACCGAACCGACUAAUGUUGAAAAAUUAGCGGAUGACCUGUGGCUGGGGGUGAAAGGCCAAUCAAACCGGGAGAUAGCUGGUUCUCCCCGAAAGCUAUUUAGGUAGCGCCUCGUGAACUCAUCUCCGGGGGUAGAGCACUGUUUCGGCUAGGGGGCCAUCCCGGCUUACCAACCCGAUGCAAACUGCGAAUACCGGAGAAUGUUAUCACGGGAGACACACGGCGGGUGCUAACGUCCGUCGUGAAGAGGGAAACAACCCAGACCGCCAGCUAAGGUCCCAAAGUCAUGGUUAAGUGGGAAACGAUGUGGGAAGGCCCAGACAGCCAGGAUGUUGGCUUAGAAGCAGCCAUCAUUUAAAGAAAGCGUAAUAGCUCACUGGUCGAGUCGGCCUGCGCGGAAGAUGUAACGGGGCUAAACCAUGCACCGAAGCUGCGGCAGCGACACUGUGUGUUGUUGGGUAGGGGAGCGUUCUGUAAGCCUGCGAAGGUGGCCUGUGAGGGUUGCUGGAGGUAUCAGAAGUGCGAAUGCUGACAUAAGUAACGAUAAAGCGGGUGAAAAGCCCGCUCGCCGGAAGACCAAGGGUUCCUGUCCAACGUUAAUCGGGGCAGGGUGAGUCGACCCCUAAGGCGAGGCCGAAAGGCGUAGUCGAUGGGAAACGGGUUAAUAUUCCCGUACUUGGUGUUACUGCGAAGGGGGGACGGAGAAGGCUAUGUUGGCCGGGCGACGGUUGUCCCGGUUUAAGCGUGUAGGUGUGUGUUCCAGGUAAAUCCGGUUCACUUUAACACUGAGGCGUGACGACGAGGCACUACGGUGCUGAAGCAACAAAUGCCCUGCUUCCAGGAAAAGCCUCUAAGCAUCAGGUAACAUCAAAUCGUACCCCAAACCGACACAGGUGGUCAGGUAGAGAAUACCAAGGCGCUUGAGAGAACUCGGGUGAAGGAACUAGGCAAAAUGGUGCCGUAACUUCGGGAGAAGGCACGCUGACACGUAGGUGAAGUGAUUUACUCAUGGAGCUGAAGUCAGUCGAAGAUACCAGCUGGCUGCAACUGUUUAUUAAAAACACAGCACUGUGCAAACACGAAAGUGGACGUAUACGGUGUGACGCCUGCCCGGUGCCGGAAGGUUAAUUGAUGGGGUCAGCGCAAGCGAAGCUCCUGAUCGAAGCCCCGGUAAACGGCGGCCGUAACUAUAACGGUCCUAAGGUAGCGAAAUUCCUUGUCGGGUAAGUUCCGACCUGCACGAAUGGCGUAAUGAUGGCCAGGCUGUCUCCACCCGAGACUCAGUGAAAUUGAACUCGCUGUGAAGAUGCAGUGUACCCGCGGCAAGACGGAAAGACCCCGUGAACCUUUACUAUAGCUUGACACUGAACAUUGAGCCUUGAUGUGUAGGAUAGGUGGGAGGCUUUGAAGUGUGGACGCCAGUCUGCAUGGAGCCGACCUUGAAAUACCACCCUUUAAUGUUUGAUGUUCUAACGUGGACCCGUUACCCGGGUUGCGGACAGUGUCUGGUGGGUAGUUUGACUGGGGCGGUCUCCUCCUAAAGAGUAACGGAGGAGCACGAAGGUUGGCUAAUCCUGGUCGGACAUCAGGAGGUUAGUGCAAUGGCAUAAGCCAGCUUGACUGCGAGCGUGACGGCGCGAGCAGGUGCGAAAGCAGGUCAUAGUGAUCCGGUGGUUCUGAAUGGAAGGGCCAUCGCUCAACGGAUAAAAGGUACUCCGGGGAUAACAGGCUGAUACCGCCCAAGAGUUCAUAUCGACGGCGGUGUUUGGCACCUCGAUGUCGGCUCAUCACAUCCUGGGGCUGAAGUAGGUCCCAAGGGUAUGGCUGUUCGCCAUUUAAAGUGGUACGCGAGCUGGGUUUAGAACGUCGUGAGACAGUUCGGUACCUAUCUGCCGUGGGCGCUGGAGAACUGAGGGGGGCUGCUCCUAGUACGAGAGGACCGGAGUGGACGCAUCACUGGUGUUCGGGUUGUCAUGCCAAUGGCACUGCCCGGUAGCUAAAUGCGGAAGAGAUAAGUGCUGAAAGCAUCUAAGCACGAAACUUGCCCCGAGAUGAGUUCUCCCUGAGACUUAGAGUCUCCUGAAGGAACGUUGAAGACGACGACGUUGAUAGGCCGGGUGUGUAAGCGCAGCGAUGCGUUGAGCUAACCGGUACUAAUGAACCGUGAGGCUUAACCUUACAACGCCGAAG
rnacentral:rRNA from 1 species